GUUGAGCAUCUGACUCUUGAUUUCGGCUCAGAUCAUGAUCCCAGGGUCAUGGGAUGGAGCCCCCUGUUGGGGCUCAGCGUGUAGCCUGCUUGAGAUUCUCUUUCUCUCUCUCUCCCCCUCCCCACUGCUCUCCCAUUUGUGCCAGCCCUCUCACUCAAAGAUCAAAAAAAAAAAAAGACAA